GAUGAACGCUGGCGGCGUGCUUAACACAUGCAAGUCGAACGGAAAGGCCCAAGCUUUCUUGGGUACUCGAGUGGCGAACGGGUGAGUAACACGUGGGGGAUCCGCCCUGCACUUCGGGAUAAGCCUGGGAAACUGGGGCUAAUACCGGAUAGGACCACUUGUUGGACGGUGUGGUGGAGUGAUUUUCGGUGUGGGUUGAGCUUGCGGCGUAUCCGCUUGUUGGUGGGGUAAUGGCUUACCAAGGGGUCGACGGGUAGCCGGACUGAGAGAGUGUACGGCCACAUUGGGACUGAGAGGCGGCCCAGACUCCUACGGGAGGCAGAAGUGGGGAAGAUUGAACAAGGGGCGCAAGCCUGAUGAAGAGAGGCCGCGGGGGGGAGGACGGUCUUAGGGUUGAAAACUCAUUUCGCUAGGGACGAAGCGUUAUGUGACGGUACCUGGAGAAGAAGCACCGGCUAACUACGUG
rnacentral:rRNA from 1 species